CGGACGGGUGAGUAACACGUGGAUAACCUACCUAUAAGACUGGGAUAACUUCGGGAAACCGGAGCUAAUACCGGAUAAUAUAUUGAACCGCAUGGUUCAAUAGUGAAAGACGGUUUUGCUGUCACUUAUAGAUGGAUCCGCGCCGCAUUAGCUAGUUGGUAAGGUAACGGCUUACCAAGGCAACGAUGCGUAGCCGACCUGAGAGGGUGAUCGGCCACACUGGAGCUGAGACACGGUCCAGACUCCUACGGGAGGCAGCAGGA
rnacentral:rRNA from 1 species